GGCUUUAUAGUGGAAAAAAAGACGUUAAAUUGCAAAUUUAAAGAUGUGUGUACUAGCACUGAAGCUU
rnacentral:tRNA from 1 species